rnacentral:rRNA from 1 species
AUGAUUGACCGUGGGCGUACCAUAGUCUACGCCAAGCCUGGCGACCAGCGGUGGGCUGUGAUUGAGCAUGACGAGAUCGGGAGACCCAAUCGCUACGCAUCAUAUCGGCUAUCGUCGGCAUCAACCCUGCAGGGGCGCUUCUACUUUGCGACUCUUGAGGGGAAUAUAAUGCAUGUGAGGCUCUGCCCUGAGCCUCAGUUGGUGCCCAUAGUCGUGAACCAGCCCAAAACCAGGGGAGAAGUGUCCUCCUACCUUGUCCCUCCCGACGACCACCGCUGCGGCGGCAUGCUCAUGGUGCGCUACUACCUCGACCUUGAUCACCUCAGCGCUGACGAGCGGAGAAUAAUGACGCGCAGGAGGAAGCGCAUGGAUGUGAUCAGGGUGGAGAACAGGCUGAAGGAGUGCUGGUGGAACCUGAUCCAGGUGUUCGAGGUGAAUGUGUCCGGAAAGAGGCUCGUCCCGGUGGAGGACAUUGGCCGCCACCACGCGGUGUUUGUCGGGGAGACGGCAUGCUUCUCCCUCUCUGCCAGGACGUUUCCGUGCGUGGCUGGGAACGCGGUGCACCUGGGGGCGACCGGUGCCCACUACCCUCCCGUCGGUGUGCGGUAUCUGGCGGACAAGAGUGCGGAUCCACCGUUUGAGUUCACCACUGACGGGCCAGCUUCUCCCGAUGAACCAAUGAAAUAG